UUUGGAGAGGGCUUUGGAAAUGGAAAGGCUUUGAAGUUUGAAUAUUAGGGUUUGAGUUAUAAAAAUAUAUGUAUUUUGGUUUAUGUUAUAAAAGUAUAAGAAUUUUUUUGACCUUUAGAUUCAGAUCUAAUGGUUUGAAUUUUUUUUAUAUAUUAUAUCAUAUUAAAUUUGUUCGGGUUCGGAUUGAAUUAUUUGAGUUCGGGUUUAGGUUUGGGUUCGGAUUUUUUUAAAAUAUUCAUAUCCGAAUCCGAAUCUGUCGGAUUUUGUUAUAUAUAUCUAUACUCGAAUCCAUAUCAAUUUACAUCGGAUAAAAUUCGCUCCGUUCGGAUUUAGAUUUGGAUAAAAUUCGGGUAUCUGUAUCCAUUUACAUUUCCAGGAAUGA
rnacentral:lncRNA from 1 species